UUGAGAAGACGAAUUUUGGAGGGUUCGGUGCUGGUAGAGCAUGGGACUAAGGUUGAAUCAAAAUCAGUUUAUUUCACUGAAAAAUCAAACUGGCAAACAGAGUUCCAUAACCUCACCAUACUGUGGACCCCAGAUGACGUUUUGCUCAUGGUUGAUGGAAAACAGCGGCAAAUUGUGAAUUUAUCUGGGCUGAAUGUCACAGACUUCAGCGAUGCAGUUGUUCCAUCUGCCCCCGGAAAGAAACUAUGGAAUACGGGCGGGUCAAUCACCCCAUUCGACCAACCGUUUCAUGUGAGGCUUGGAAGUACCGUCGGCGAUUCAAAAGAUUACUCAAGGCCCUCUAACAACCCGAGGGGAAUAAUCACCUUCUGGAAUAAUGAGGAAGAAUGGCAGCAGACUUGGCGGGACGAUACAGCAUUCGUUGUCAAAUCCAUGAAAAUCUCUACUGCGAAUUGUUGAACUUUCUAAAAACUGCUUUUUUGGUACGGGAUGAAUUUCACUCAUUCGUAGAGGAUAUAAAAAGGGAAAAAAUUGUGUUUAUGAACCGUACGAAAAGAGGUGCAUUAACGGGCACAGGAAUACCAAAUGGCACGGCUACAUACACUGUCGAAUGAAAUAAAAGAAUAAAUUAUUUUGUUUAUUGUAUAAUUUUAAAGUAAAUAUUUGACUCGUUAAAAUGGUUUUUUUUCUUCCUCCUCUCCCCCCCCCCCCCCCCCCCCGAUGUUCAUAACACAGAUGAGUGAGCUAAGUGUGACGAUGAUAAUAAGCCGCCGUUAAAAAAGUACCAUCCAACGUUGAAAAUUGUGGCACCAAUAUUAGUACAUGUCACUCU
rnacentral:lncRNA from 1 species